rnacentral:lncRNA from 1 species
CUCAGUUUCCUCAUCCAUAAAGUGGAGUAAUGCUAGUAUCAUAGAGUUAGCCUGAGAAUUAGAUGAGUUAUUAUAUGUAAAGCAGUUAGAAUAGAACCUGGUGUAUACUACUUCAUAAGUACAUGCUAAAUAAAUAUUUUAGGUCAGGCAGGGUGGCUCAUGCCUGGAAUUCUAGCACUUUGGGAGGCCGAGGUGGGUGGAUUGUCUGAGCUCAGGAGUUCAAGACCAGCCUGGGCAAAAUGGUGAAACCCAGUCUCUACUAAAAUACAAAAAAUUAGCCGGGCGCGGUUGUGUGCGUCUGUAAUCCCAGCUACUUGGGAGGCUGAGGCACCAGAACUGCUUGAACCCAGGAGUCAGAGGUUGCAGUGAGCCAAGAU